rnacentral:rRNA from 1 species
AUUGAACGCUGGCGGCAUGCCUUACACAUGCAAGUCGAACGGCAGCAUGAUCUAGCUUGCUAGAUUGAUGGCGAGUGGCGAACGGGUGAGUAAUACAUCGGAACGUGCCCUGUAGUGGGGGAUAACUAGUCGAAAGAUUAGCUAAUACCGCAUACGACCUGAGGGUGAAAGUGGGGGACCGCAAGGCCUCAUGCUAUAGGAGCGGCCGAUGUCUGAUUAGCUAGUUGGUGAGGUAAAGGCUCACCAAGGCGACGAUCAGUAGCUGGUCUGAGAGGACGAUCAGCCACACUGGGACUGGGACACGGCCCAGACUCCUACGGGAGGCAGCAGUGGGGAAUUUUGGAAAAUGGGCGGAAGCCUGAUCCAGCAAUGCCGCGUGGUUGAAGAAGGCCUUCGGGUUGUAAAGCCCUUUUGUCCGGAAAGAAAUGGCUCUGGUUAAUACCUGGGGUCGAUGACGGUACCGGAAGAAUAAGGACCGGCUAACUACGUG